ensembl:lncRNA uncharacterized LOC107213495
AUGCUGACGUUCCCAACAUCAGGCAGAAGCUGGAUGAUAAUGACGGCGAACGCUUUCCCACGUUCCCUGUCCAGCGCCGCGAUGCCAAACUCUAUUGUGUUCCACACUCUCCAGCCCACCUGCUCCUUUGGGAGCGGUGUAUUAUCCCCAGGCAAUUCACAGUCAAUUUGCCAUGCUGUAAUGGAUGCUUUCCCAUUGUUCUUGGCACUCAUGGAUUGGCUGGCGACUGUGGGAAACUCCGAGUCGCUCCGGACCCAGACUUUUGUAAUGAGGCUCCUGCCUAUAAAUAGGGCAGAUCCCGGCUCUUUUCUCCACUCCGAGCUGAGAUCAGCCCUUGGCAUAACGGUGCUCUCUCCCUGGAUAUCCCAUCGCCCGGAGGGAAGCACAGACUCUGGAUUGGAUUUACAGCAGCUGGAACUGCUCCUGGAGAAGGCAUUUCAGAGGCACCAGCCCAACUCUGAGCUGGGGAAAGGCGAAAUCUUGGGGGGGAUGGCUGUGAGCGACCUGGGAUACGGGCGAGCCUUUGUAGUCCCUGCCCAGAGCCCGCAGCAGGAUGAUCCUGACGGGUAGUGUCCCAGGGCGGCUCUGUAAUUCCCGUCAUUCCGUUCCAUGGGCGCAGGAACCUGAGCUACCACUCCCGGAAGUCACAGGUGGCACCUGGGGACUCUGGUUCUUCCUCCGCACCCACCUCCAGCCACCAGCCUCCUGCAAAACCUGCAGCACCGAAGCGAUUCCAAAGCCCCCGGAGACACUGGCAGUUCACAAUUCCGUGAUUUUUGGACGUUUCCCAUAUUCCAGAGGAGACCAUGACUUGUUGUACAAGUCGCCCCCAUUCCUCUCAUGAGUAUGGAAGAAUGUUUCCCCUUUGCAGGUCAUUGGUCUGCUUGGAUGUGAGCUCCCCUUCUCCCAGAAGGACUGCAACGAUCCCACCGCGUGGAGAAGAAGUUGUUCUGAGGGACUGUGAGCUGUAUCCUCCUGCUGGGAGGGCCGGAGGGGUCGUUCAGAGCGGAACGACAGCUGUUCUUAACCUCUGCGAGGUUGUCCAUGUACCUCUGUUGGGAAAGCUGUAACCCCUGGUGCUCUUAGAAUUCCCAGAAGUGUCCCUGCGGUAGGAGCCUUUUCCUCUGACUCCUCGGGGUCCCAGGGCAUCCACACCUGGAAUGUCCCUGGGUCUCACUGGACACAUUUGGGAAUCUGGCCUUCCCGUGGUGACAUGAGGGGUUCUAUAAUAUUUAUAGUCUGUACUGAGCACCCUCUGAGAAUGGUUAAACCAUAUCCCAAACUAUGUAGAGGAAAUUCCUCGGGAUGUCUUGCUCACGAGCCAAGGCUGUUGUGAGAUUCAGGAUGCAUGUGUGCCUUUUGUAAAGGCUGGAGCUCGUUUUUAUGUCCUUGUAGGACUGAAAGUUACGGCUGUACUGUCGAUUAUAAAAGCAGUAUUUAUCAAAGUCUUUCAUGAAAGGCAGGUGUUUAAAUUAUAUUUACUUUUUGGUACCCUUUUGCCAAGGGAAAAUGGGAAUUUGUUAUUGUCCUUGGAGGAUGUUAUGAUGCGUUCUGUGCAAGCUGCACCAAUGUAUGACCUGUGCCUGAGUUAUCUUGAAUGUCAGAAGUUGCAGAAACUUUUAACCAUCAAAAAUAAAUAAAAAUCUGGUCAAUCA